rnacentral:rRNA from 1 species
ACCUCCUACGGGGGGCAGCAGUAGGGGAUCUUCCACAAUGGACGAAAGUCUGAUGGAGCAACGCCGCGUGAGUGAAGAAGGGUUUCGGCUCGUAAAGCUCUGUUGGUAGUGAAGAAAGAUAGAGGUAGUAACUGGCCUUUAUUUGACGGUAAUUACUUAGAAAGUCACGGCUAACUACGUGCCAGCAGCCGCGGUAAUACGUAGGUGGCAAGCGUUGUCCGGAUUUAUUGGGCGUAAAGCGAGGGCAGGCGGGUCAAUAAGUCUGUUGUGGAAACCUU